UGCAAUCCAAUAUGUCUCCAUUCCAGUGAGGUCACCGGCCUCUUUGUCGGCAAAGAACAAUGGAUUCCUCAACAAGUCUCCCUGUUUUUGCAUCGGGAACAUUUUGGGAGGACUUGUCGUCAGACCUGGAACAAGACUUACCCAGCCAACAUGAAUGGGAGGAAACCCAACAGCCAUCCAGUGAGACAUCUGAAGACCAGCUUGGUCCCUUUGCUGUUGGACAAGGCAGCUCACCUGAAUGAGGAACAGCUCCCCAAGAGAGGCACCCACAGAAGUGGCUAAGCCUCUCCCUCAGUUGCAAGGCAUAAGCUACAAUCAAGAGUUCCCCAUGAGAAACAUGAGUGGUUGGUGUCCUUUUAGUCACAUGUGCAGCUUCUCUGGGAAAAAAACCUCUGGUUUUGGACACACAACAUCUAUCCUCUUCAGUCACUCCUUCCAAAUGUUCACACUGUCUGGUUCUAUGGCAUCUCAAUACAGGAGAAUAAAUUACAUAUUUUCAAGUCCCCUAAAUAAUGAGAAGUACAUUGGGCAGCAUUUCAUCCAAUGAAGUUGCUUUUAUAUAUUUAUUUCUGUUCACUUAAUGUUAAUCUAUAGAGCUGUACUGAUUUCAAAAUAGCCACCUUGCGGCUUAUACAAGUCACUUGAAAUGAUAUGGACAAUGCAAUGUGAAAUUGUCAAUAGGCCAUAAGGCCUGAUUCAAACACAAUGAAAGCUGCCCUGCAAAAAGCAUUUAUUGGGUCAGAUGUUGCCUAAAUCUGGUGUCAUUAUAUUUAAAGGCCCAUACAUCUGCAGUAUCAGGGCAUCAGAAGCGCAGUUUCUCAGAUUACUGUAUAGAUUUUUGAAAUUCCAGUCCUCUAUAUGUAUGAGCUGAUGCAUGUAAUAAGCAUGUAUUAUUCAUGUCAACCUGUCCAGCUUCUUGAUCUACUGGAAACUGUCAAUUUUCCUGGUCUAUAGCAGGGGUAGAGAAACUUGCAUUUCCCAUAUGAAACUAACUGGAUGCCUAGUUGCACUUUCUCUUAGGAUUAUCAACCUCAAAGGGCUAUUGUUAGAAUAAAACGGAUAGGAGGAGAGACAGAUAUACCAUCUUGAGCAUGUUGGAGGACAGAUAAUAGACAGCUAUGGGCAAAAAAUCUAAUACAAAUAUGCCUCCAUAAAACAAUGACCAAAUUGUGCAGAAAUGCUAAUUCACAACUUAUCUUAUUAUUCCCAUAUGAUCCAUAUAUAUGUAUGU